rnacentral:rRNA from 1 species
UGAGGCAGUGACAAGCUGUAACGGUUGAGUAUAAAAAUGACGAGUGUCUGGCAUUGCCGUCUAGGUUCGCUUAGGCUUGGCAUCAUUGCCGACGCUUCGUAUGCUCAAUUGGACUGCGGUGAGUUCAAUACACUCAGUACCAUUUGACGCGGUAGAAUUAAUACCUCUGCUGUGUUAAGUUAUCUGAACCCAUCAAGUAGAGGGCAAGUCUGGUGCCAGCAGCCGCGGUAAUACCAGCUCUACUGGCCUAUACAAUCAUUGUUGCGGUUAAGAGGCUCGUAGUUGGAUUGGACUAUUAUAUACGCGCUAAAUCUUACACACAUACACACACACAACGGCCGUAUCGAAUAGCAUAUUAAUAUGCAUAGUAUAUAUGACGUAACGUAAUUUUAUGACUUGAAUACGCACAUCUAAUACUAUACACGACACUUUACACACACAAUCACACCACGUGAAAUUGUUGCAUUGUUCGAAUACACAAAACCCCCACCUUACAUACACGCGUAUUCAACACUGUGAACAAAUCAGAGUGUAUCAUACAUGUCUUUAAUUGAAUGUGCAUUGAAUGUCUCAUCAUGGGAUGUUGCCUACACACAGCAAAUUUGAAAAUCGACACAUACACACAAGACACACUCGGAUUUUUUAAUUUUCUGGUUACAAAAAUGUCGAUGGGGAUAGUUGGAGUUAGCAGUACUGUUGGGCGAGCGGUGAAAUGCGUUGACCCAGUAUCCAUUUAUACGGUCUCGACGGACGUUUACAAUAUGUAUCUAAUCAAUACAUAUCUUUUGCGUGUAAGCUUUGUACAAUUAUUCACUCAACCACUCGUGGUUAUGAAUAUGCGUAUGCGUGCACUUGAUUUUAGGAGCUUUGCGCUCAUAUUAUCUUGGUUAGAUGCAAGUAUCACUCGUUCACUGUGUACUGGCGUAUCGAUAUAUUCGUAUAUCCGAUUACUGCUGUAUCACUAUGAACAACAAACAAUGUGAUACGACGCACGCUUUAGGCACGCGCUUACUGCAGAAAUGUCUGAGACAUUCCCCUCCGGGGGUAGUAUGCACGCAAGUGUGAAACUUGAAGGAAUUGACGGAAGGGCACCACAAGAACGCGUGGAGCAUGUGGCUUAAUUUGACUCAACGCAGGAAAUCUUACCGGGUCCGGACACACUGAGGAUUGACAGAUAAUAACGGGUUGGCUGGUUCUUCUUGAACCGACCGACUCUUAAAAAUAUGAUAGCUCUUUCAUAAUUAUGUGAUAGGUGGUGCAUGGCCGUUCUUAGUUCGUGGAGUGAUCUGUCUGCUUAAUUGCGUUUUUAUUAUGGCUGACUAUAGUAUGUGUAUUUAUAUGCUCUCGCGGUAUGUAAAUCACGUCUGUCGGCUUUGAAAUGCAACGAACGUGACCGCAACCUCUUGUUGCACCUUAGCUGCUCAAGGUGCUCAACUAGAGGGACCGCUGUAUUUUUUCUUUUAGCCAGAGGAAGGAUGCGGCAAUAACAGGUCUGUGAUGCCCUCAGAUGUCCCGGGCUGCACACGUGCUACAAUGAUCAUUGCACUGCGCAUCUUCUUUUAUGUUUACACUGUCGUGUGCGAUGAGAUUCGCUUCACAGUGGUCGUAUCAAACACACAGUACACACACCCGUGUCGACAGGCUACUACACUCGGGUAACCCAUUAGAAGUAAUGAUUUCCAUAUGCACACAAUCAUACGUAUGAACGCUGAACACUCCGGUGUCUCAAUGUUCGUACGCAUGUGCGAUUGUCAAUUCAUGGUGGGGACAGACCAUUGAUAAUUGUUGGUCUCGGUCUCAACUAGGAAUGCCUUGUACGAGUCGGUUCACCAAACCACUCGGAAUACGUCCCUGCCCUUUGUACACACCGCCCGUCGCUCUUACCGAUGGACUUCGCUGUGAGUUUGAGGGACUGGCCUAGGCUAUAGAAACUUAAACGAACAGUGUGGUCUAAAGGAAAGAGAAGUCGAACAAGGCA